AACCUGACGCCAGUGGCAGUAUCAUAGCCAAUGAGGUUUAUCCGAGGCUCGAUUAUUGCUAAUUGAAAAUUCCUAAAAGAAU
rfam:Mustela putorius furo unplaced genomic scaffold scaffold00902, whole genome shotgun sequence.